CAUAUAAAAGCACUCACCACCCAGGGCUCUUCUCACCACUUCUCUUGACAUAUUCUCCUUGGAGACCAGGGUUUGCCUCCAUCCCAUGUCUUGCUACGACAUACCCUACCCACCUUGUGGCGUGACAUUGCCACCAUGCCCAGAGCCUUUCGCUGUCACUUCCAAUGAGAUUCAUGCCGUACAGUACCCGGACAGGAUAGUGGAAACUGAGCUGGAAGAUGGGCAACCCUGUACUGUGAUAUACCCUGGCCCAAUUCUCACUACUUUCCCUCAGCAGACGCUGGUGGGAUCCUCUGCUUUAUUUGACAUGGAGCGCUUACUUGGUUCCAAGAGAUCUUUUGAGUUUGAGGGCCCUCUUGGUCUGGGGGGAAUAUGUGGUCCUGGGAGCUUGUGUAAUUCUGAACCUUUUGGUGAUUUCCCCUAUGGGAACUGUGGGCCUUUUUAAACCCAGCACGAUUAUCCAUGGAACAAGAAGUAAGCAAACAUGAAAAAUAAGGAACAGAUUCAUGGCUGAGCUUGCUGAUUAUGGAUUUUAGAAGUGCCUAGCACCCACAACUUCCACUGCGGCUAAUGGAAGUUGUGAAUGCUUGGCACUAGAGCUGUGUGUGGGAGCUGGAAUAUCCAGUCAGCUGGAAAACCACCUGGGAGCAUCUACACAUUCACUAAUACAUGUUUGGUAAUGCGCAUUAAAUUUACUACCUCUAUUGUGAGGUACCAAAAAAGGCCCAUUAGUCUAUUUUAAUGUGCUUUAGGGAAAGCACAUGGGUUUUAUGUGACACUUCAAUGCACAUUAAAAUAGGCUAAUGCACAUUAAAAUGCAUGUGUAGACAUGCCCCCUAUUUUCAAACUUGGGUUUUUUUCCCCCAGAAAUGUGUCAGGAAAAAACCUGCAAAAUUCCAUGAAAUUAGUUAUAAAAAAUGAUGUCCAGAGCUGAUAAAAAUGUUCUGUUUUGAUCCUUCAAAAUGUUUAUUUCCAUUUUGACUUUAAAAUAAAAUCACAUUGUCAUUUACCAUAUAAAGUACAUUAUUGAGGGGAAAAAGUGUAUCUGGAGAUGGAAAAUUGAGAAGUUCCACUCUGCUCAUGCCCAGGAAUGGUACGGUUGAAACUUUUCUUUGAUACCUUGUUUAACAAAAUUUUCAUCAAAACUGAUCAAACGUCCUACGGCGAUUCAUUUUUAUUGAGCGAGAAUGUACAGAGGGAAAAGUAUUCUAAACCCCAAAAUUACCAACCAGCUCUACCAGGAUUUAUUUUUUUAAUGACAUACACAUCUUUUGCUUGUUAUAUUUUACUUCAGAUCUAUGCUAUAAUGGUUGCACAGCUUUGUUCUCUACUCAUAUUCUGCUGUGCUUGAUUUAUGCUGACCAGGGGACAAUAAGUAACUAGAAGCAAUGGAAGUUCACCCAUGCUCAUUAAACUUUACAGUUGGAACGGGGAAGAGUAUGGUGUUCAGAAUGCAAAACCUUGGAGGGGGCAGUUCAUCCAAGCCUCUCUUGAAACCCUGGAAAUAUUUUCCUCAUCUACUUCAUUAUCUCAUUUGCAAUUGUAUGCAUCACUUCUCAUGCUCAUUAAAAGCAUCAUAACACUUA